CAUGAAUUUUUUACCAGAAACUCUUACUAACAACCAUCUGAGAACAGCUUCACAAUUUUCACACUAGCCUCAACAAAUUCCUUGUCUUUACUCGAACUCUGGAACACCGAUUGAUUUCUUGAUCCAAACCAGUUCCACACAGCGGAGUGGCGGAGUCCAUUCGUCACGAACAUCUGGAACGAAAUUGCUAACUGAGAAGUGUACAUUGCAUCUGCUCGCGAACUGUUUGAUGAAAUUCCGAAAAGAAAUUUCUCUUACAUUUCUUGGUUCCCUCCUUUUGAAGAAUUUGUUCGUUCAAUUGAGCAGGGUAGACAUCCGGCAUUUGAGCAAUUGUUUCAAUACAUGGAGCGCCUUUUGCAAUAUCAUUAGAUGGCGAUCAUCCAUACAAGGAACCUGCCCCAGAUUGGUAUGGCUUGGGGUGUGAAAGACGACCUAGAAAAACUUAAAGACACUCUGGAGAUGAUUGAGGCUGUAACAUAUGAUGCAGAGAAGAAACAAGCGAAUGAGAAGGCUGUGAGACUUUGGUUAAAAAGGCUGAGGAACGUCGUGUAUGAUGCUGAUGAUGUUCUGGACGAGUUUUCGUAUAAAGCCAUGUGCGGAGCUCAAAUGAAUAAGGUACAAGGAUUUUUUUCGUCCUCCAACUCACUUUCGUUUCGUUUCAAAAUGGCGCAGAAAAUUAAACAUAUUAACAAGAGCCUAGAUAAAAUUUCUAUUGAGAUGGCAAAAUUUCAGUUUCAAAUUUCUACCCCUGAUAGUAGCACUCAUGUUCGCAGUACUGGAGAACAAAACCUACCAAUUCCAUCCUUUGUAGAUGAAUCAAACUUCCUAGGAACAAAUAAUAAUAAAUCAACCAUAAUACAGAUGUUAACUACACCCCAGACAUCAUCAUCAGCCUCAUCAUCCAUAAACACUUGUCGUCGAGAUAAAAAUUCAGUCCUGUCCAUAGUGGGCAUGGGGGGGCUUGGAAAAAGUACACUUGCUCACAUGGUCUACAAAGAUGACUCGAUAGUGAGUUCCUUUGAGAAAAGAGCUUGAGUGCGCGUGUCUGAUGAUUUUAAUAUCAGAAAGAUCUUAGUGAAAAUAAUUGAGUCAGUCACUAACAAGAAGUCUGAUUAUGUAUCAAAUGACAUGGUCUUGGUUAAUAAAGUUCGAGAAGUUGAGCGACAAAACAUAUUUACUAGUACUCGAUGAUUUGUGGAAUGAGGACGCGGAGGACUGUGAUAAACUGAAGGGUUUGCUAAGUGUGGGUGCUCCCGGAAGUAUAAUGUUAGUCACUACACGUAGCAACGAUGUUGCAUCUAUUGUUGGUGGUCUUAGCCCACCAUACAUCUUAGAAAACUUACCUGACUGUGUAUGCUGGUCUAUCAUCAAGACCAAAGCAUUUUCUGCUGGUGGUGCAUUAGAGACUCCAAAAAUGACAGGUAUAGGAGAGGAAAUAGCGAACAAAUGUGGCGGUUUACCACUUGCUGCAAAUGUUCUCGGAAAUCUUAUGCGCUUGCAUAAAUCCGAGAAUGAUUGGGUGUCAAUCCGGGACCAUGACAGUUUGAAUAUGAGAAAUGUAACAACAAAAAUCAUAUCAAUAUUAAAAUUUAGCUAUGAUAAAUUACCCUCUCAUUUGAAACAUUGUUUUUCCUAUUGCUCUUUAUUUCCAAAGGGUUGGGAGAUUAAUAGAGAAACACUGAUUAGAUUGUGGAUGGCUGAAGGGUUUCUUCAUGCAUCUCAUGGUGGAAAUCAGAUAUCACUAGAAGAUGUUGGUAAUGAUUAUUUUCAUAGUUUACUGGCUAACUCGUUUUCCCAAGAUGUGACCAAGGAUAAGUUAGGCGACAUCAAAACCUGCAAGGUGCAUGAUUUAGUACAUGAUCUUGCACAGAGUGUCAAUGGUGUUCAUGAUUGUGAAUUCCAGUGAAAUUGGAUCUAUUUCUGGAUUUCGUCGGUUGCAGUUAGCUUUAGACAAACAAACUUCAAUUACAUUUUCGAAAGUCUUAGAAAAAACAAAAAGAUUGAGGUCUGUUUUCUCCCUUGAAAAUGACCAUUUGGGAGAACAUUUACUUCUAAACAGAAAUCUGCGGGUAGUUUGUUUGCUUAGUCGGCAUGCUCUAGACAUUCAAUUUUCGACAGUUAAGCUUAAUCAUUUGAGGUACCUUGACCUGUCUUAUUGUGGUUUUGAUGAUGGACAUAAUGUGUCCAUCCUUCGACUUUACAAUUUGCAGACGUUAGUGCUUCAUGGAUGCAGAAAUGUUAGAAUGAUUCUCGUAGGCAUUGGGUCUCUGAAGAUCUUAAGGCACCUUAAUCUCUCGUAUUCAGAUGUUGAAAAGCUACCUGAUUCUGUCGUUAAGCUUACUAAGUUGCCGACACUAGAUCUACAUUGUUGCAAGAGACUAGUAGCCUUACCUGUACAGAUUGGGUCUUUGAAAGAUCUAAGAGAUUUGGCACUCAAAUACUGUAAAACUUUAGAAAUUUUACCAAGAGAGGUUGGAGAAUUGACACGAUUAAGGAUCCCGGAUUUGUCAGGUACUAUGAUCCAAGUAUUGCCCGAGUCAUGCAUUAACAACCUUUGCAGUUUGGAGAUAAUGGAAUUUGGAGACUGUAAGCUUCCCAAAGAAAUAAAUAAUUGGCCAAAACUGAGAAUUCUCACACAUAGUGGAGAGGGAACAGAUGGAAUGCCUAGAGGUAUAAAAUCUCUAACUUGCCUUGAAUUGUUAGACUCCUUUGAGGUGAUGGUCAGAGAUGACGUUGGAAUCUCUUGUAGUGGUGAUGGUACUGAAGAAUUAGCCAACCUAAAUUCUUUACGAGUGUUAAAGAUUCUCAAUUUGGAGUUUGUGAGAGGUGGUAUCGAGGGGAAGAAAGCAAAAUUAAAAGAUAAGAUAAACCUAUGUGAUUUGUCUCUAAAUUGGCUCUCCAUUUUUGAAGAGGAUCAUGAGAUGUCAUUUCAUGAGGUGUUGGAGGGUCUCAAACCUCACCCAAACUUGAGAAAGUUAGAAUUAUGUAAAUUCCCGGGUUUAUAAUUUCCAAAAUGGAUGGGCUUAUCCAAUUGCCUAUCAAACUUAGCGGAAUUAAGGCUUUGGGAUUGCGGUAGAUGCUCUACCUGCGCUGGGUAUGCUCACAUGUCUUAAGGUUCUUCAUAUUUGGCAGAUGAAGUUAGUUCAGUGUUUGGGUGAAGAGUUCUAUUACCAGCAAGAAGAGGAUGAAGAAAACAUCAACUGCAGCAGUAGUAAAGGCAGUUGUAGUACUAAGACUGCUAGUCCAACGUCAUUAUUCCCUUCGUUAAUUCAUCUGAGCAUUGAGGAUAUGGAAAAUCUAAAAGAAUGGGUUGCUCCUUUUCCAACUUAUAAUUCUUUUUCUUCCCUUGAGAAAUUAGAAAUUGGAAAAUGCCCAAAACUGAGAAGCACACCAAAGUCAUUCUCUUUUCUUAAGGAACUGGAUUUAAUAUACACCAGCAUCAAGGAAGUAACCCCGAUCUUAGCCACUGGACGACUAACCUAUCUCACGUCCAUUUUUAUAUCAUACUCUCCAAAGCUAAUAUGUGUUCCACUGGGCUUACUACUCCAAAACAUUACUCCGAAUCUUCAAAAUUUGCGGAUCAUGAGCUGCUCUAAACUUCAGGGUUUUCGUGAUGAUGAUAAUGAUCUAAACAACAACAAGGAUGAUGAAGAUUCCGAAGCGGUGCCAUAUUUUUCAUGUCCUGAAAUCAACUCCAACAACAGCAGCAAUUCUCUCCGCUUAGUUGUCCUAUUUUUACAUUGCUCCCGGAUUUACGGUUGCUGACUUCUCUCCGAAAAUUAACCAUAUGGCAGUGUGACAAAUUGAAGCAGGCAAUACCGUACAAUCUCAAGAAUUCUUUUACCUUUCUUGAAGUGUUAAGAGUUGAUUUUACUCAAAGUGAAGACGAGCAUCUAGAAGAUCCUGCUGCCAGUAUGAGUUAAUGAAUUUGAUGGGGGAUCAGGAAAAGAAGUAGGUCUGCUGCAAGUUAUUCUCACUAAUUCCAAUCAUUGCCAACAGAACAUAUAAUAUGCGGGAAAAUGAAGGGAGUGGCUUAAAAUAUCAAAAAGACGGAACCAAGAUCAUGUUGAAAUUUUCCAAAGCAGAGUUGCUGAAGAGGCAUCUAUGAACCUAUCCCCAAGUGUUUUGGGCGCCUCUGUAUAAGCUAUCCAAGGAUUAAACAAAAUUUGACUAUUCUAACUGUCGGGUUAUUGAAUUAUCAGCGGAUUAUGGUUGUUUGAAGCUCGUUAUGAAGCAAUGUUUCCUUCGAGUCAGAAUUGUGCCUGUCGACAAGAUAUGACGCGAUCUGUUAACAUCCAUUUGUAAUUCUAGAAUGUCAAAGUUGCUGUAUCGAAAGAGGCCGUUUCCAGAACUGGUGGCUGACAUGGUUCCAAAGAAAUAAAACUGGUGGCUGGAAUUUCCAGUUUUAUAAAUCAGUAAAGAUUGAUUGUGUAAUUAUCUUUUCUUGUCUCCUGUAAUUUUAAUUUGUAAAGUAAAACUGUUGGUCUCAUUGCCGGCAGUUAGUACGGCAAAAGAACGUUGCAACUGUAAGACAUGCAUCUGUGUUUUUGUUUAGUUACCCAAUAACAUAUCUUCCUCUUCGUUUUCCAUGUUUUCCAUGGCUAGAGCAGUACUGUCGUUGCUCGUCACUGCAUCAAGUCGGUGUGUUUUGCAAGUCUUUCUAAACUUCUGUGGAAUAGCUGGCCAAUGAGGCAUGAGUUGGCAUGAUUCCCACAUACCAUAUUGGGGAACCAAAUUCUGUCCCAGAUCACCACCUUUGGAGCUCCACUGUAGUCAGCAGAAGGGCUAACUAGUAAUAGAAAAGAACUCUGUCAGCUGAAGUUGUUGACUCAAGUUGUUGGAUCAACUUUAAGUGAACCGCGUGUUCUGGUAUGAGUUGACCAGAACACCCAUGUUUGACAGCGUUUGAAUCGAAUUGGAUCUGGAUUUCUUGGUAAAAUUUCCACUACAAAAUUCUUCAAAUACCUACCAAUUUUUGAAAUUUCUUUGAAAAUAUAAGAAUUAUAAAAGUUUUUUUGGUUUUGAUUGUAAUUUGUAAACACUAGAAGCUACAUAUCUCAACAAAACUAUGGAAUUUUCAUUAAAAAUCAUCAAAAUAUUACAUCUCAAAUAAUAAAAAAAAUAUUGUUAAGAUCAUGAUCUACUCAAGAAUAGGAGGACUAAUACUACAACUCAUGAACCCAUUUCUUUUACUCCCCAACAGCGAAGAAAAAGACCCAACACUCUUAUUCGAACCUUUCUUUGAUAUCAUCUUCGAACUAUUAUUCGUAGCAAAUGAUUUACUAUUAUCCAAUCCACACGCAUAACUCUUGCAUGAUUUCAUCAUCAUCUGCUUCUUCUUAUACGGGUUCUCUCUUUUCGCAAGAUCUUCCAACGUCUGCACGUUAGACAACGAGGUAAAAGACUGCGACUUCCCUUGAAAAUGCUUAGACAAGCCUCUCUUCACAGGUAGUUCAUUCAUGAGCCCUGACAAUUCAUAUAACGGUCCCCUGGUUAACCGUGGCGACGUCGCCGCCGCUUCGAAAGAAGAAGACGCGUCGUCUUGUAAAUCCUCUGCGUCGGAAUUUGAACCAAGUGAACCGCUUGAUGAGGACCUUUCCUCGAAAGAUGAUGCUGAAGACAUAGCCUCAUCAAUACCACCAAGUUCAUCUUCACUACUACUAUCCACGACACCCCACCGUUGCACGUUUGCCGCCAUCGGAAACACGUUUUGCCUGGCCGAUAAGAGAUUAAUGAAAUUGCUUUGAUUCUUAACCAUCACUUCAC